GCUGGUCAAAUGGAACCAAGUC
rnacentral:miRNA from 2 species